rnacentral:lncRNA from 10 species
GGGUAUUGCUUUGCUUUAAAUAACUCUUUGAGAGUCCACUCAUGAAGCAAGAAGUCAAGCAGAUUUUUAAGGCUUUGGAGAGGUGGUAAAUAGAACUUAUAGAGAGAGUUGUCCAUAUUGGUCAAGACUUUAUUUUGUUUGUAGAAGCCAAAUGUGCAUCUAAUCCUAUACAUUGUUAAAUUUUAUGAGUAGUGCUGUGUCUGGAGUUGUUUCCUUCUGGUGGGUUCAUGGUCUCGCUGACUUCAAGAAUGGAGCCAUGGACCUUCACAGUGAGUGUUACGGCUCUUAAAGAUGGCACAGACCCAAAGAGUGAGCAAGAUUUAUUGUGAAGAGCAAAAGAAUAAACCUUCUACAGCCUGGAAGAGGACCUGAGUGGGUUCUGGCUGCUGGCUGAGAUGGCCAGCUUUUAUUCCCAUAUUUGUCCCCUCCUAUGUCCUGUUUCUGUCCUAUCAGAAUGCCCUUUUCUCAAUCCUCCUUGCGAUUGGUUACUUUUAGAAUCUUGCUGAUUGGUCCAUUUUCCAGAGUGCUGAUUGGUCCAUUUUACAGAGCGUUGAUUGGUGCAUUUUACAAACCUCUUGCUAGCUACAGAGCACUGACUGGUGCGUUUUACAAUCCUAGCUACAGAGCGCUGAUUGGUGCGUUUUACAAUCCUCUUGUAAGACAGAAAAGUUC